UACGUAGGUGGCAAGCGUUGUCCGGAUUUAUUGGGUUUAAAGGGUGCGUAGGCGGCCUUGUAAGUCAGUGCUGAAAUAUCCCGGCUUAACCGGGAGGGUGGCAUUGAUACUGCAGGGCUUGAGUAAAGUUGAGGUUGGCGGAAUUGACGGUGUAGCGGUGAAAUGCUUAGAUAUCGUCAAGAACACCGAUAGUGAAGACAGCUAACUAAGCUUUAACUGACGCUGAGGCACGAAAGUGUGGGGAUCAAACAGGG
rnacentral:rRNA from 1 species